rnacentral:lncRNA from 1 species
GUCAACUUGUGGCCCAGUUCUGUGUGUCAAUUGGCCUCUAAGAAGUACCCAGCAGCCCCUGCUCAAAUCUCCUCUCCCCCUGUCCGGUGUGACCUGGGAGCCCUGUGACGCCGCUUUAUUGCUUAGGAAGUGAUGGUACACUGAAAUGUUCAGCGGUUUGCCCAUGGCCUCAGGAGAGCAAAGCUGGCCUGCCCACCUCACCGCACGACAGUGGGGUUCCCAGAGCAGUGUCCCAGGCUCCAAAAUGCUCUCUUUCUUGGUUUGACCUGUCUGCCACCAAAAGAUGAAACUCAACCAAGAGAACAUCAAGGAACCCCAGCUUCCUACCUCCACUCAUCAUUGCCAGCUGCAGCAGUCCCGAUCACGUGGUGGGGGCAACUAACAGGAUUCCGUCCAUCAGUGGCUCACCCACAGCUCCUGCAACCCCUUCCACCCUCGCGAAGGGCGCCCCCAGGUCCCCGUCAUCCUUCCUGACCGAGUUCUUCACCUCUUCGAGGAGCCUUCCCUCCCUACCCCCGGGCCUGUAAGUGAUUCCCUCCAUCCCCUCUGUGUCCAUGCAGCUCUGCAUGGUGGGGACGGGUCCUGGGGACACCCCUGUG